CAGAGGUCUCAACCGUUGUUCGGAUUCAUUGGGCGUAAAGGGUGCGUAGGCGGCGGAGUAAGUCAGGUGUGAAAUCUCGGGGCUCAACCCCGAAACUGCACUUGAUACUGCUUCGCUCGAGUACUGGAGGGGAGACUGGAAUUUACGGUGUAGCAGUGAAAUGCGUAGAUAUCGUAAGGAAGACCAGUGGCGAAGGCGAGUCUCUGGACAGUUACCGACGCUGAGGCACGAAGGCCAGGGGAGCAAACGGGAUUAGAUACCCCGGUAGUCCUGGCAGUAAACGGUGCACGUUUGGUGUGGGAGGAUUCGACCCUUCCGUGCCGGAGCUAACGCGUUAAACGUGCCGCCUGGGAAGUACGGUCGCAAGAUUA
rnacentral:rRNA from 1 species